CCAUGAGUUUAUUGUUUACCCAUGGGUUUAGAAUUAAGAGUUUAGUAUUUUUAAAAUUUAGUGCUUAAUAUUUAUGAUUUAGGAUUUAAGAUUUAUCCAAUGGUUUAAAGUUUACCCAAUGGGUUAAUGUUUAGUAUUUAGAGUUUAGUGUUUUGAUGUUAGAAAUAUUUUUUAAAAAGUUGUUUUUUUACAACUACUACUAUUUUUUUUUUACUUUUUCUUAUUUUUGAAAAAUAAUAUAACUUAAAAUAUAAAAAAAUUAAAAUUUUCAAAGGAUAAACUUAGAAAUGUGCUAUUUUGGUCAUUUUAGUUUUUGAGUGCUAUUUUUGUGAUAUAAACUUAGAAAUGUGUUAUUUUGGAGAUUUGCCCUAACAAAUAUUUAUUAUUUUGUUUCUUUAAAAAUAUGGAAUAUGAAAUAACAAAAUACUAUUGGUUGAUGAACCUACGUAUUAGAUUUUAAUUACCAAUGCAUUAGUUUUUGUAAUUAACUAUUCUCCACAAUUUUUAACCAAUAGAAUUUCAGUAAACACAAUUAUGUUUUUGAAGUUUACAAUUUACAAUUAAUUUAUGCAUUGAAAAUAUAAAAAAUGUAUUUUCUGAAAUCAUUUUUUUUUAAACAUGGAUCUUUUUGAAACGAAUGAAACAUUAAAUUAUCGUCUAUAAAAAUGAUAUGCAAUUAAGAAUACAUAUAUUUCUGUUUGUAUUUGUUAGGGUGCUUUAUUCUAAUUUUAAAAUCUGAAAAGUACAUAAUGGUAUGUCUUAUAUGUAUGUGUGGUUUGUGAAAUAAGGAGAAUUCAAUCCAGAAGAACUGAGCGGCAACAUAGGAAAAAGAUAAGUAAUUCCGGAAAUCUCUUUACAAUUUUAAAAACCAUUCUUGGAGCUUGCUAUAUAAUUUAGUAUGUGCUUGAUCCUCCGUAGUCGUU
rnacentral:lncRNA from 1 species